GAUCCUGGCUCGGGAUGAACGCUAGCUACAGGCUUAACACAUGCAAGUCGAGGGGCAGCAUCAUCAAAGCUUGCUUUGAUGGAUGGCGACCGGCGCACGGGUGAGUAACACGUAUCCAACCUGCCGACAACACUGGGAUAGCCUUUCGAAAGAAAGAUUAAUACCGGAUGGCAUAAUUAUUCCGCAUGGGAUAAUUAUUAAAGAAUUUCGGUUGUCGAUGGGGAUGCGUUCCAUUAGG
rnacentral:rRNA from 1 species